rnacentral:lncRNA from 1 species
UGAGAGGAGCACAUUGAAUCUUUUUAUUGGUACUAUUUAUUAAGCCAAUUAAACAUUUUGAUUUUCUAGAUGUUCCUGAUGCCAAGGUUGCAGUUCCACCUCAAAAACCAGCUGAAGCUGCCCCUAUUCCCAUUCUUCUGCCUCUUGUUCCACCUCCAGAGGAGAAAAAGCCAGAGAAAAAGGUUCCAUUAAAGAAAGUACCCCAAAAGGUGGUUAAAAAAGCCCCUGAAGAAGUCCCACCACCUAAAGUUCCUGAGGUGGUACCAGAGAAGCCUAAAGAGGUCAAAAUAACAUCCAUGGCAAGGAGAGAAGAAAUACAUGAAGAAAAGAAAAUACAUGAAAUGCCCAAAGAAAUUUAUGAAGAAUGGGAAGAAGAUUAUGGUGAAGACCAUGACUAUUAUGUCAAGGAAGAGGGCUAUGAUGAAGGGGAAGAGGAAUGGGAAGAAGCUUAUGAGAAAAGAGAAGUGACUUAUGAAGAAAAAAGAAUAAUUCAUGAGGAAGGUAUUUGAAUUAUUAUGUCAUUUUCUCCUAUUUAUUAUUAAGGCCCCAACAUUUUGAAGUAGGCAA